rnacentral:rRNA from 1 species
AGUGAACGCUGGCGGUAGGCCUAACACAUGCAAGUCGAACGGCAGCACAGUAAGAGCUUGCUCUUACGGGUGGCGAGUGGCGGACGGGUGAGGAAUACAUCGGAAUCUACUUUUUCGUGGGGGAUAACGGAGGGAAACUUACGCUAAUACCGCAUACGACCUACGGGUGAAAGCAGUGGAUCUUCGGACCUUGCGCGAUUGAAUGAGCCGAUGUCGGAUUAGCUAGUUGGCAGGGUAACGGCCCACCAAGGCGACGAUCCGUAGCUGGUCUGAGAGGAUGAUCAGCCACACUGGAACUGAGACACGGUCCAGACUCCUACGGGAGGCAGCAGUGGGGAAUAUUGGACAAUGGGCGCAAGCCUGAUCCAGCCAUACCGCGUGGGUGAAGAAGGCCUUCGGGUUGUAAAGCCCUUUUGUUGGGAAAGAAAAGCAGCAGGUUAAUACCCCGCUGUUCUGACGGUACCCAAAGAAUAAGCACCGGCUAACUUCGUG